rnacentral:rRNA from 1 species
CAUGCAGUCGAACGGGAUCCCAGGAGCUUGCUCCUGGGUGAGAGUGGCGAACGGGUGAGUAAUGCGUGACCGACCUGCCCCAUACACCGGAAUAGCUCCUGGAAACGGGUGGUAAUGCCGGAUGCUCCAGUUGACCGCAUGGUCCUCUGGGAAAGCUUUUGCGGUAUGGGAUGGGGUCGCGUCCUAUCAGCUUGAUGGCGGGGUAACGGCCCACCAUGGCUUCCACGGGUAGCCGGCCUGAGAGGGCGACCGGCCACAUUGGGACUGAAAUACGGCCCAGACUCCUACGGGAGGCAGCAGUGGGGAAUAUUGCACAAUGGGCGCAAGCCUGAUGCAGCGACGCCGCGUGCGGGAUGACGGCCUUCGGGUUGUAAACCGCUUUUGACUGGGAGCAAGCCCUUCGGGGUGAGUGUACCUUUCGAAUAAGCACCGGCUAACUACGUGCCAGCAGCCGCGGUAAUACGUAGGGUGCAAGCGUUAUCCGGAAUUAUUGGGCGUAAAGGGCUCGUARGCGGUUCGUCGCGUCCGGUGUGAAAGUCCAUCGCUUAACGGUGGAUCCGCGCCGGGUACGGGCGGGCUUGAGUGCGGUAGGGGAGACUGGAAUUCCCGGUGUAACGGUGGAAUGUGUAGAUAUCGGGAAGAACACCAAUGGCGAAGGCAGGUCUCUGGGCCGUCACUGACGCUGAGGAGCGAAAGCGUGGGGAGCGAACAGGAUUAGAUACCCUGGUAGUCCACGCCGUAAACGGUGGAUGCUGGAUGUGGGGACCAUUCCACGGUCUCCGUGUCGGAGCCAACGCGUUAAGCAUCCCGCCUGGGGAGUACGGCCGCAAGGCUAAAACUCAAAGAAAUUGACGGGGGCCCGCACAAGCGGCGGAGCAUGCGGAUUAAUUCGAUGCAACGCGAAGAACCUUACCUGGGCUUGACAUGUUCCCGACAGCCCCAGAGAUGGGGCCUCCCUUCGGGGCGGGUUCACAGGUGGUGCA